AUGCUUUAGUCAUAAAAGAGAUAGCUGCCAAUCUUCCUCCUUUAAUGAUUCAAGGCAGCAACUCACUUCACCAUUUUACACUAACUCCACGAGAAGAGCAAGUAGGAGAACUCCAUUCAUUUUCUACCAUUAUUCAAGAAGAAUCCUCAUCAGCCAUCGUCCCCAUCAAAAGCAAGCAAACAACUCAAGAGUCAAGCCAACAAGAACAGAUCAUUUCAAAAGGUUAAUGGCGGGUGAUGACGGGGCGGAGCUGAGGCUAGAGUUCAACUCCUUAUUUUGAUUUCCGCUACAGAACUAGCCAGUAUCUGUCUUUUGUUCCUUAACUUAAGACCUAUUAUAUUGUGACGCUAAACAAUAUCUUUUGUUGAGCCUAGACUACUGAUUCUCAAGUAUUUCGAUCAGUUAAUGUUGGUUAACUGAAGCAUGACACUAAACUUGUGAUCCUGAAGUUAUUAUGUUUGUUGAUUGAUUCGUAUCACUUGAAUACCUGUCUUUCUUCA